rnacentral:rRNA from 1 species
ACUCCUACGGGAGGCAGCAGUAGGGAAUCUUCCACAAUGGACGAAAGUCUGAUGGAGCAACGCCGCGUGAGUGAAGAAGGGUUUCGGCUCGUAAAACUCUGUUGUUAAAGAAAGAACAUAUCUGAGAGUAACUGUUCAGGUAUUGACGGUAUUUAACCAGAAAGCCACGGCUAACUACGUGCCAGCAGCCGCGGUAAUACGUAGGUGGCAAGCGUUGUCCGGAUUUAUUGGGGCGUAAAGCGAGCGCAGGCGGUUUUUAAGUCUGAUGUGAAAGCCUUCGGCUCAACCGAAGAAGUGCAUCGGAAACUGGGAAACUUGAGUGCAGAAGAGGACAGUGGAACUCCAUGUGUAGCGGUGAAAUGCGUAGAUAUAUGGAAGAACACCAGUGGCGAAGGCGGCUGUCUGGUCUGUAACUGACGCUGAGACUCGAAAGCAUGGGUAGCGAACAGGAUUAGAUACCCUGGUAGCUCGAUGUAGUCGUAGGAACAAGGCACACAGGGGGAUA